UGAACCAGGAACCCAGGAAAAUGACCAGC
rnacentral:piRNA from 1 species